rnacentral:rRNA from 1 species
CCUACGGGAGGCAGCAGUGGGGGAUAUUGCACAAUGGGGGGAACCCUGAUGCAGCGACGCCGCGUGGGUGAAGAAGCGCCUCGGCGCGUAAAGCCCUGUCAGCAGGGAAGAAAAUGACGGUACCUGAAGAAGAAGCCCCGGCUAACUACGUGCCAGCAGCCGCGGUAAUACGUAGGGGGCAAGCGUUAUCCGGAUGUACGGGGUGUAAAGGGGGCGCAGACGGCGAUGAGAGGCAGGAGGGAAAGCCCGGGGGCCAACCCCGGGCCUGCUCUUGGAACUGCGUGGCUGGAGUGCAGGAGGGGCAGGCGGAAUUCCUGGUGUAGCGGUGAAAUGCGUAGAUAUCAGGAGGAACACCGGUGGCGAAGGCGGCCUGCUGGACUGCAACUGACGUUGAGGCCCGAAAGCGUGGGGAGCAAACAGGAUUAGAUACCCCUGUAGUC